rnacentral:rRNA from 1 species
AUGGUGGAUUACCAAAGAAGCACAUAUCAUAGGGGGAGCAAAAUAUUUAAGAAAAACGAAUGUAGGGUUGUUAGAACUACCCUGCGAGCAGAACCGAGACUAAUCACAUGGAAUUGUCGGGGUCUGGGGAAUGGCCUGACAAUUCGUGGGCUUUUGAAUGUUCGAAAGUAGGAGGACUGUGAUGUGUUGUUUCUUUCAGAGACGAAGAUGGUGAGGAGCAAGAUGGAUUGGCUGAGAUGGAAGCUUGGAGUUCCACAUAUGGCAGUGAAGGAUUGUCGUGGAAAAGGAGAAGGGCUGGCUAUGUUCUGA